AUAGCGUCCGUCGCUCUCACUGACGGCCCGUCAAAUCAAUCGUUUUACCAGUUUUGCUUUUGCGUUUUUUUUUGCGGUCUUGUGACGACAUGGAGAAGUAAAUUUUGAAGAAACCAAUGUAAAACUCGGUUAAAGAAUAUGACUUGUCAAGCAGGUUGCCGGCUCGGUUGCUGGCCCAGGAAGUUAGAACCGCGAUAGCGUCGGUCGAAGAUCUUUUCUGGGCAAGAUCGGUGAAGUGCAUCUUACGAGCAACGAGUGCAGCAGUGAAAUUAUGUGUGGAAUUUGUUGUACAGUGAUGUUUUGAGAGAGUUUGGAAUAAAAAGUCGAAAACAAAAAA